rnacentral:lncRNA from 1 species
UAGCACGGACACGUUCAAAGGGCCUCCGUGUCGUGUCGGACACCCCGACACGUGUCCGACACGCUCGGACACGCGGUCAACACGUGUCGGAGUUUCUGACACGUGGUCAACUCUUUCCGACACGCGCGUCGGAGCAUGUCCGGAGGUUUGUGGGCGGAUCCGCAGGUGCGAAGGGAAGAAAGUGAUGGAGGGUGAAAGCAAGGGUGAGGGAGCUAAGGCGACGCCGCAAGCGACGACAAGGGAGGGCUCCGACCGCCGACUGCAACACUGAGAAGCCUUCUCGAUCGUCUUGGUUGGCUGCAACCGUCGACUGCAACGCCAAGAUGGAAAACGGAAAGGCCAUGAUGGAGGGCUGGAUGCGAGGCUACGACGGGCCGACGGCAAAGAGGGUAACUGAGGCAAGGCAUCGGUGAGAGAGGUGGAGGCCGAGCGAGGGAGAGGAGAAAGAAGGCAAUCGCCGAUUGUUAGGGUUUUCAAUUUUUGGAAGAAUAGCAAGGGGAGAGAGGAUGUGU